AUUGAACGCUGGCGGCAUGCUUUACACAUGCAAGUCGGGCGAGUGGCGGACGGGUGAGUAAUGUAUGGGGACCUGCCUGAUGGAGGGGGAUAACUACUGGAAACGGUAGCUAAUACCGCAUCCCAUCAGAGGUACCCAUAUGGGAUUAGCUUGUAGGUGAGGUAACGGCUCACCAAGGCCCCGAUCUCUAGCUGGUUUGAGAGGAUGAUCAGCCACACUGGGACUGAGACACGGCCCAGACUCCUACGGGAGGCAGCAGUGGGGAAUGUUGCACAAUGGGCGCAAGCCUGAUGCAGCCAUGCCGCGUGUAUGAUGAAGGCCUUCGGGUUGUAAAGUACUUUCGGUCGGGAGGCGUUACCGGCAGAAGAAGCACCGGCUAACUCCGUGCCAGCCGCCGCGGUAAUUC
rnacentral:rRNA from 1 species